rnacentral:rRNA from 1 species
AAGUGAGAAUGCCGGUGUGAGUAGCGAAAGACGGGUGAGAAUCCCGUCCACCGAUUGACUAAGGUUUCCAGAGGAAGGCUCGUCCGCUCUGGGUUAGUCGGGUCCUAAGCUGAGGCCGACAGGCGUAGGCGAUGGAUAACAGGUUGAUAUUCCUGUACCACCUAUAAUCGUUUUAAUCGAUGGGGGGACGCAGUAGGAUAGGCGAAGCGUGCGAUUGGAUUGCACGUCUAAGCAGUAAGGCUGAGUAUUAGGCAAAUCCGGUACUCGUUAAGGCUGAGCUGUGAUGGGGAGAAGACAUUGUGUCUUCGAGUCGUUGAUUUCACACUGCCGAGAAAAGCCUCUAGAUAGAAAAUAGGUGCCCGUACCGCAAACCGACACAGGUAGUCAAGAUGAGAAUUCUAAGGUGAGCGAGCGAACUCUCGUUAAGGAACUCGGCAAAAUGACCCCGUAACUUCGGGAGAAGGGGUGCUCUUUAGGGUUAACGCCCAGAAGAGCCGCAGUGAAUAGGCCCAAGCGACUGUUUAUCAAAAACACAGGUCUCUGCUAAACCGUAAGGUGAUGUAUAGGGGCUGACGCCUGCCCGGUGCUGGAAGGUUAAGAGGAGUGGUUAGCUUCUGCGAAGCUACGAAUCGAAGCCCCAGUAAACGGCGGCCGUAACUAUAACGGUCCUAAGGUAGCGAAA